rnacentral:ncRNA from 2 species
UACCCUGUAGAAUCGAAUUUGU